rnacentral:ncRNA from 2 species
UAUCUAUCCAGAGCGACCGAGAGACCUGGCUCGUCGACGUCGCAGCAACCACCCCCGCGGAUCUCGCGGGGAACGGUGCUCCCGCCAGGACCGAUGGAGC